AGUGAACGCUGGCGGCAGGCCUAAUACAUGCAAGUCGAACGACCGCACAAUAAGAGUUCGCCUCUAAGGGUGGCGACUGGCGGACGGGUGACGCAUACAUCGGCUACUACUAUUACGUGGGGGACAACGUAGGGACGCUUAUGAUAAUACCGAAUAUGUUCUACGGCAUAAUUCAGGAGAGCAUCGCAGCUUUCGUGUCUCAAUUAGACGAUGUCGGAUUAGCUAGUCGGCUGGGUAAAGUCCCGCCAAGGCGACGAUCCGUAGCUGGUCUGAGAGGAUGAUCAGCCACACUGGAACUGAGACACGGUCCAGACUCCUACGGGAGGCAGCAGUGGGGAAUAUUGGACAAUGGGCGCAAGCCUGAUCCAGCCAUACCGCGUGGGUGAAGAAGGCCUUCGGGUUGUAAAGCCCUUUUGUUGGGAAAGAAAAGCAGCAGGUUAAUACCCCGCUGUUCUGACGGUACCCAAAGAAUAAGCACCGGCUAACUUCGUG
rnacentral:rRNA from 1 species